ensembl:lncRNA
AAGGUGGUGUCGAUCUGCCUGAGGGUAGGGAGGCCCUUCAGAGGGAUCUGGAUAGACUGGAUCACCGGGCUGAGGUGAAUAGGAUGAGGUUCAACAAGGCCAAGUGUCAGGUCCUGCACUUUGGCUACAGUAACUCCAUGCAGUGCUAUAGGCUUGGGGCAGGUUGACGGGAUGACUGUGAAGAGGAAAGGGACCUGGGGGUGUUGGUUGAUGCUCAGCUGAACGUGAGUCGACAGUGUGGCCAGCUAGCCGAGAGGGCCAACGGCAUCCUGGCCUGCAUUAGAAAUAGUGUGGCUAGCAGGAGCAGGGAGGUAAUCGUCCCCCUGUACUCAGCACUGGUGGG